GUCACCCGCACGAGACACUGUCUCCUGAGGCCUGAGGACACCCUGCUGCCUCUCCCUGUCCCCACCUCAAGGGUCCCCGCAGCCGGGAGUGGACAGGAGGUGUGGAUGGGCAGCCAGGCCCAGUCCCACGGGGCGGAAUCGGUUAAUGCCAGCCAGGUGCCCCCACUGUGUGCGGAGUCCUCUUCAGUGCUCCCCACCCGUCCUCCUAUUUGACAGACGAAGUGAGCUCGGUGAGGUGCAGCUGCCCGGUGAGGGGCAGGCAGCGCGGGGGGCCGGGUCGGUCAUCCUCCAAGACGGUAGCUUCCUCCCCACCCUGGGGUCGCGGCAAGGCCCCUACAUAUAUCAGACACCUACUGUGUGCCCAGCCCCACUUGGCACUUUAUGCACAUCAUUCUCGUGGUCACAUCCAUUUCAGAGGGGUAAACUGAGGCCAGAAGGAGACACCACAAGCAGGGGAGGUCAACAAGGACACGGCCUCCAGCUGGAACUUACAUCUGCUCUGAGGGUCUGCUGGAUCCAGCCUUAGGGGAUGGAGACAGAGACGAGGCUCAGGACAGAGCAGGACUCGGGGGGCCGGGACCCCUAGCCAGGAAGUCACAGGAAGCCCAGGACUCUGAAGGCAACAACGGGGGUGCUGAGCCAUGAGUCCGGUGGGCGAUGACGGGGACUGAGGCAUGGAGCUUAGGGCCGCAGCGGGGAGCUGGGAGGUGGGAGCCAGUGCACUUGCCCUGAUUCCCAGGCUUAUUAACCCCCCCCCCCCAGGAAGGUAUAGCAUGAACCUGGGAUCCUCAAACCCCAGGGGUACAGGGGCAAAUAA